rnacentral:rRNA from 1 species
GACGAACGCUGGCGGCGUGCUUAACACAUGCAAGUCGAACGGAAAGGCCCUGCUUUUGUGGGGUGCUCGAGUGGCGAACGGGUGAGUAACACGUGAGUAACCUGCCCUUGACUUUGGGAUAACUUCAGGAAACUGGGGCUAAUACCGGAUAGGAGCUCCUGCUGCAUGGUGGGGGUUGGAAAGUUUCGGCGGUUGGGGAUGGACUCGCGGCUUAUCAGCUUGUUGGGGGGGUAGUGGCUUACCAAGGCUUUGACGGGUAGCCAGCCUGAGAUGGUGACCGGCCACAUUGGGACUGAGAUACGGCCCAGACUACUACGGGAGGCAGCAGUGGAGAAUAUUGCACAAUGGGCGGAAGCCUGAUGCAGCAACGCCGCGUGCGGGAUGACGGCCUUCGGGUUGUAAACCGCUUUCGCCUGUGACGAAGCGUGAGUGACGGUAAUGGGUAAAGAAGCACCGGCUAACUACGUG